UCACUUUUUUGGUUGGGUGUUUUGCUUCGAUCAACCUAUAGAAAAGGAAACAGUGAUUACAAUAAUGGAAAAAUUUCAUAGAACGGGAAUCAGGAAGGGCCUCAUCGGAGGCAGUUUUUGAAAUUUCUCGCAGUGGUACCAUCAGGCUUUGCCCGCGGUUUCCAGCCAAUCCGCUGGUCCUUUUGCUCCAAUUUGGCCAUGGGGGUGUUUAAAAUUUAAUUCCGAGUAAAUGAGGAAAUUUUUACCUCUUUUAAUGGUCAGAAGUGGCUCCGGCACAGUGACGGGUGGCAGCGACUUCCUUCC
rnacentral:lncRNA from 1 species